CCUACGGGGGACUGCAGUGAGGAAUAUUGGUCAAUGGACGAGAGUCUGAACCAGCGAAGUAGCGUGAAGGAUGACUGCCCUAUGGGUUGUAAACUUCUUUUAUGAAGGAAUAAAACGAGGCACGUGUGCCUUUUUGCAUGUACUUUAUGAAUAAGGAGCGGCUAACUCCGUGCCAGCAGCCGCGGUAAUACGGAGGAUCCGAGCGUUAUCCGGAUUUAUUGGGUUUAAAGGGAGCGUAGAUGGGUUGUUAAGUCAGUUGUGAAAGUUUGCGGCUCAACCGUAAAAUUGCAAUUGAUACUGGGAGUCUUGAGUACAGUAGAGGUAGGCGGAAUUCGUGGUGUAGCGGUGAAAUGCUUAGAUAUCACGAAGAACCCCGAUUGCGAAGGCAGCUUACUAAACUGUGACUGACAUUGAUGCUCGAAAGUGUGGGUAUCAAACAGGAUUAGAUACCCUGGUAGUC
rnacentral:rRNA from 1 species